rnacentral:rRNA from 1 species
AUUGAACGCUGGCGGCAGGCCUAACACAUGCAAGUCGAGCGGAUGAGGGGUGCUUGCACCCCGAUUCAGCGGCGGACGGGUGAGUAAUGCCUAGGAAUCUGCCCGAUAGUGGGGGAAAACGUUUAGAAAGGAACGCUAAUACCGCAUACGUCCUACGGGAGAAAGUGGGGGCUCUUCGGACCUCACGCUAUCGGAUGAGCCUAGGUCGGAUUAGCUAGUUGGUGGGGUAAAGGCUCACCAAGGCGACGAUCCGUAACUGGUCUGAGAGGAUGAUCAGUCACACUGGAACUGAGACACGGUCCAGACUCCUACGGGAGGAAGCAGUGGGGAAUAUUGGACAAUGGGCGAAAGCCUGAUCCAGCCAUGCCGCGUGUGUGAAGAAGGUCUUCGGAUUGUAAAGCACUUUAAGUCGGGAGGAAGGGUUGUAGGUUAAUACCUUGCAGCCUUGACGUUACCGGCAGAAUAAGCACCGGCUAACUUCGUGCCAGCCGCCGCGGUAAAAC